rnacentral:lncRNA from 1 species
CGACGCUGCGGGCGAGCAGCCCGGGCUCCGGCAGCCGCCACCGUCGCCGCCGCCGCCACCCGGAGGACCCGGCAAAAGUUUGGAUCUGGGGGAGGACGCGGCGCUGAGCCGGAUGACCAGCGGGGCCCGGAGGAGACCUGGAGAAUCUCCGCAGUGCUGAAUGAUACAGUAAUAAUACUUGAAGAAGAAAAAUGUUUGCCUGAAACAUACUGCUCUGAAGAGUUCUGCUAAUAAAACAAGAAGAGUUUGGAGAUAGGUCCUAAGGAAACUCUGAAUAAAGAAAAGCACAAAAUGCAAUGGGGGAAUUUAUUUUUGUGUGAAUGGCUUGGAACUCAUGAAGGAGACAUGAUUCUUUUCGAGGCAGAGGGUACACACCAGAUGAUAAAAUACAAGAUACCUAAUUUAUUUCAUAAAUGUCUUGAAGACUAUGAUGCUCAUGGACAUCAAUUAUUUUCGUGUUCUUUAAGACAUUCUUCAGGCAACAACAGUUCAAUAACAGGAAAGAAUGGCAUCACAGGAUUGCAUCAUGUUCUUCAAAAUGAAAUCUAUUGAUGGUUGAACAGUAUAAACAACAAGGAACAUAAAUGGUCAGAAGGACCCAAGGGAAACAGGCCAAUGAAAUUAAACAAAGGAAAUUUUAUACUGUAAGGAGAAAUCAAAGGGUUGCAACAGAACCCUGCAUGAAGGGACAGAGCUCUUGAGUCCCAGACCUAGAGGCAGUUGAGAACCCGUGUGGAGUAAAGCCUGAGCUUUUUGGUUUCCUUUUGUGAGGCUAUUUUCACAGUGUUAAAUAUAAAAAGAAAUAAUAAAUAAAUGUAUUUUAAAUCUAUUUUUUCUUAC